AAUGAGAUUUAUAUAAUUAAAUUUUUGAUGAGGAAAUAUGUUGAUAAAUAAUUAGUGUAAAAAAAAUAUUACCCUUUUUUUAAUUUAUACUUAUUUAACUUCUAAUUAUUUUAUUUUAAUUAUUUAACUCAAAUAAUUUUGCAAUUUACUAAAUCUAAUAAUAUUCAGUUAAUGAUUUAAUUUCUUAAUUUUUAGUAAAUAAAAUUAUGACAAUUAGUGGCUAUUAUUUGAUAGAGCUAUUAAAUUUAAUGUAAUCUUUAAUUUAAUUAAAUAAAAAAAUUAUCUAAAAUAUUUAGAAAUUAUGAAGGUAUUAAA
rnacentral:lncRNA from 1 species